CCCGCGGAAGAAGCAGUCCCGGUUGCGGGCCGCCGCCGCGGGCUGUGGGGACGACUUGGUCGGCGUCCGGCCCGGCAGUCGGAUGAGAGGGCGCCGGCGGCGACACCAGCUGCAGCAACGAGGCUUCUUCUGGCUCGCACGGUUCCGAGGCUCCUUCGAAAGAAGAAUAGUAGACUGGGAUCUCUCCAUGAAGAAGAGGGGCAGAAGGAAGGCUGAAAAACUGACGUGAAACAUGUGCUCCUAUGAUGUGUGCCACAUGCGUGCAGAGCCAGAAGAGGUGAGAAGAGGAAACGACAACUUUAGAAGCAGAGUUAAACACCAGUUCUACGCAUUGUACCAGAACCUGGCCCAUGUGAAGUAAGUGAGUCACAAAUACAGGAUUCUGACACCGUGGAGGGAGGGCAGGAGUCCCUGCAGGUUCUGUGGUCGGCAGGGAAAUGAUUUGGGUGAGGAUCUUGCGUUGAGUACCUGCCCUGACUUCACAUCACGAUGGUCCCUAGACAGCAAAACAAGAAGGCUAGUGAAGAGAAGAACAUGAUUGGCAUUCAGAAUCAGCGGCACAACUUUGAAGUCCUACAGAUCAAGUGCGAGAACAUUGAAAGGAACAUUUCUACAGUGAAGAGUUAAGUGACAGCAUUCUUAUUGUCUGCCGUGUAUACUGUGUGGGAAUGAGACAUCAUGUCAGCGGCUGGGAAAUACAAAGGGAUCAGGAAGAAGUGUGUAGUGAUGGCAGUGUCAUCUGUAGACUGGGCCAGAAAAAUCCACUGAGUUCAGGACAGCAGUUGGCGAUCUCUACUGGACAAAGGAUGAGAGAAGCCUAUCUGUGGUCUUACAAAGACUUCAGGGCUACAGUUGUGAUGAAGACCAGGGAUGGGACAGUCCUCU
rnacentral:lncRNA from 1 species